rnacentral:rRNA from 1 species
AGAAAGACGGACCUUCCGGGUUGGUAAACUGCUUUUCUUGUGGACGAGCAAGGACGGUACCACAGGAAUCAGCCCCGGCUAACUACGUGC